CAGCAAAACGGAGGAGCACCCGCAAAAUUGGAGGGUGGGGCGGUACUUGGCACUGUAAAAAUUGCAUCUCCUCCUGGCUCUGCCUCAGUUUCCCCCACCUGAAAUGGGGGGGAAGGGGGGAUAAGCAGGCUUGGGGGGGGGCACACAGGUCACCCCCUGCCCAGUCUGAACCCAGCCCAACCAUCCUCCUCCUCUUCCUCCCAGUGCCAGGAGCUGCGGGGCUUCAUCCGGCCGCUGGCGGAGCUGCUGGAGGGGCUGAAACGAGGGCGAUACGAUAGAGGGCUGAGCAGCUUCCAGCAGAGCGUGGCCAUGGACCGGAUCCAGCGGAUCAUCGGGGUCCUGCAAAAACCCGAAAUGGGUGCCCGGUAUCUGGGGACGCUGCUGCAGGUCGAGGGGAUGCUGAGGGUCUGGUUCCCCCACGUCGCCCCCAAACCCCCGCAGGAUCCGACCCCCGCCUCCACCCGCCGCCGCCCCCCCGCUGGCCCCCCUGGGGCACCCCGCUGCCGGCGCCAGCCUGCGGACCCCCCCACCUCCAGCCCCGCGGGGACAUCGCAUCGGGGGGCACAACCCAGAUGUCACCAUCCCACCCAGACCGGGACCCCCGCGUCCCCCUCAGCGCUGGAUGCGUGACCCCCCCCCAGCUUGGAGAGGGGGGCGUCUCUCCUGGAUUCCUUGAGUUUUGCCUUUUUUGAUGUUUUGGUUUUUUGUUUUUUGUUUUUUUUUUAAUUGUGGACAGUGAGACCUGCAGGCGGGCGGGGCCAUCCCAUGGGCCCCCCCCUCAGUGAACCCCAAAACCCUGGAGAAAGGGGGGGGGGGGCUCGUGCCUUGGCGCACCACUGGGGGGGACAGGGCGGUGGGGGCUGGCCCCCCCCGCCAGGCUUGUGCCUUCCCCCCCCUGUGUGGUGUUUGGGGGUGCGGGGGGGGGGGGGGUGGGUCCGGGGUGGCGGGUGUGCAUCGUUCCCCCCCCCCCCCCCCAAAAUGGGGCUGCCUCACAGCUCGGCCCUGCUGGAAGCAAUAAAUGCCGCGGGAGCGGCCGGGGCCA